CGCACAAGCGGUGGAGCAUGUGGUUUAAUUCGAUGCAACGCGAAGAACCUUACGUACUCUUGACAUCCAGCGAAGCCUUUAGAGAUAGAGGCGUGCCUUCGGGAGCGCUGAGACAGGUGUUGCAUGGCUGUCGUCAGCUCGUGUCGUGAAAUGUCUGGGUUAAGUCCCGCAACGAGCGCAACCCUUAUCCUUGUUUGCCAGCACGUAAUGGUGGGAACUCCAGGGAGACUGCCGGUGAUAAACCGGAGGAAGGUGGGGACGACGUCAAGUCAUCAUGGCCCUUACGAGUAGGGCUCCACACCUGUUACAAUGGCAGAUCCAGAGGGCAGCGAGACAGCGAUGUUUAGCGAAUCCCCAAAAGUUCGUCUCAGUCCGGAUUGGAGUCUGCAACUCGACUCCAUGAAGUCGGAAUCGCUAGUAAUCGUGGAUCAGAAUGCCACGGUGAAUACGUUCCCGGGCCUUGUACACACCGCCCGU
rnacentral:rRNA from 1 species